UAGUAAUGGCAGGUCAGCAUACUGCCGUGAAUACGUUCCCGGGCCUUGUACACACCGCCCGUCACACCAUGAGAGUUGGGAAUACCCGAAGCCUGUGAGCUAACGUUAAGAGGCAGCAGUCGAAGGUAGAAUCAAUGAUUGGGGUGAAGUCGUAACAAGGUAGC
rnacentral:rRNA from 1 species